UACGUAGGUCCCGAGCGUUGUCCGGAUUUAUUGGGCGUAAAGCGAGCGCAGGUGGUUUAUUAAGUCUGGUGUAAAAGGCAGUGGCUCAACCAUUGUAUGCAUUGGAAACUGGUAGACUUGAGUGCAGGAGAGGAGAGUGGAAUUCCAUGUGUAGCAGUGAAAUGCGUAGAUAUAUGGAGGAACACCGGUGGCGAAAGCGGCUCUCUGGCCUGUAACUGACACUGAGGCUCGAAAGCGUGGGGAGCAAACAGG
rnacentral:rRNA from 1 species